GCUUAUAGUCCCAGCUACUCAGGAGGCUGAAGUGGGAGGAUCGCUUGAGCCUGGGAGGCAAAGGCUUGCAGUGAGCCCAGAUUGCACCACUGCACUCUAGCCUGGGUGACAGAGUGAGACUGUGUCUCAAAAAAAAAAAAAACAAAAACACCAGACACAUUUCGAUAGAAACAUUACUGUAUACGGUAUUAAAAUUAUGUGUUAACAUUUGAUCACCAAAGGAAAUAUAAGCAUUAUUGCAUUCUAUCUUUUAGUAUUGUUAAAUUUCUUUAUUUAGUCGAUGUUGUAUUAAAGUUAAA
rnacentral:lncRNA from 1 species